UACGUAGGGGGCAAGCGUUGUCCGGAAUCAUUGGGCGUAAAGCGCGUGUAGGCGGCUCGAUAAGUCUGCUGUGAAAGUCCAGGGCUCAACCCUGGGAUGCCGGUGGAUACUGUCGAGCUCGAGUCCGGAAGAGGCGACUGGAAUUCCUGGUGUAGCGGUGGAAUGCGCAGAUAUCAGGAGGAACACCGGUGGCGAAGGCGG
rnacentral:rRNA from 1 species